AGGUGUAGAGACAAGUGCAGACCUGCG
rnacentral:piRNA from 1 species